UACGGAGGAUGCAAGCGUUAUCCGGAAUGAUUGGGCGUAAAGCGUCCGCAGGUGGCAGUGUAAGUCUGCUGUUAAAGAGUCUAGCUCAACUAGAUAAAAGCAGUGGAAACUACAUAGCUAGAGUACGUUCGGGGCAGAGGGAAUUCCUGGUGUAGCGGUGAAAUGCGUAGAGAUCAGGAAGAACACCGGUGGCGAAAGCGCUCUGCUGGACCUUAACUGACACUGAGUGACGAAAGCUAGGGGAGCGAAUGGG
rnacentral:rRNA from 1 species